UGCGGGUUGGAGCAGUAGCAGCUCGUCGCGCUCAUAACGCGAAGGUCGGUGGUGCAAAUCCAUCACCCGCAA
rnacentral:tRNA from 1 species